rnacentral:piRNA from 1 species
CUGACUGAUAGAAUGUAAAUGAC